ACUCCUACGGGAGGCAGCAGUGGGGAAUAUUGCACAAUGGGCGCAAGCCUGAUGCAGCCAUGCCGCGUGUGUGAAGAAGGCCUUCGGUUGUGAAAGCACUUUCAGUCGUGAGGAAGGUAGUGUAGUUAAUAGCUGCAUUAUUUGACGUUAGCGACAGAAGAAGCACCGGCUAACUCCGUGCCAGCAGCCGCGGUAAUACGGAGGGUGCGAGCGUUAAUCGGAAUUACUGGGCGUAAAGCGCAUGCAGGUGGUUUGUUAAGUCAGAUGUG
rnacentral:rRNA from 1 species